rnacentral:ncRNA from 1 species
AGCCCCAUAGCAGGUGACAGGCCUGUAGGUGUAAAUUGAUUUGGACGAGCAGUAUCCUGAGUAGCGCGGGACCGGAGGAAUCUUGCGUGAAUCUGCCAGCACCAUCUGGUAAGGCUAAAUACUCCUUAGAUGACCGAUAGUGAACCAGUACCGUAAGGGAAAGGUGAAAAGUACUCCGAACAGGAGAGUGAAAUAGUACCUGAAACCGUGCGCUUACAAGCGGUCGGAGCCAGCAAUGGUGACGGCGUGCCUUUUGCAUAAUGAGCCUACGAGUUGCUCCUCACUGGCGAGGUUAAGUUCUUCAGUAACGGAGCCGUAGCGAAAGCGAGUCCAACAGGGCGACUAGUCAGUGGGGGCAGACGCGAAACUUUGUGAUCUAUCCAUGGGCAGGAUGAAGGUUGGGUAAAACAACUGGAGGUCCGAACUCAUUAACGUUGAAAAGUAUGGGAUGACCUGUGGAUAGGGGUGAAAGGCCAAUCAAACUGAGAGAUAGCUCGUUCUCCCCGAAAUGUUUUUAGGAACAGCCUUGGAUAUAGACGUAUUAUAGAGGUAGAGCUACUAAUUGGGCUAGGGGGCUUCACCGCCUACCAAACCCUAAUAAACUACCG